UUUUUUAUGUGUCUUCUAGACAGUGAUUUAUUUGGAGUAAAAAACUAUCAAAAAGAAUGCAUUUAAAGAAGCUUUUGAACUUUCUCAGAUGCAAUAAUAGUGAGUGAUGCUUAAGAGAAACAAGAGGUAUUUUUUGUUAUUGUAGUCAGCCAUAUAAGAUGUUUCCUGUUCUCUCCUCUCUUCCCUUUUACUUUAGUCAUAUCCUGCAAAAAAACUCGCAUCUUUAGUAUUAUGGAAAAAAGGGGAAGAAAACAUUUUUAUAAAUUUAUAGUGAGGAUUCAUCAACAUGAAUUUAUUGUCGGUAUUCUUGAUGUCCAAAUCUACAUGAAUGAUGUGCAGUGUUAUUUCAGAUCUAUGGCAGUAUGCCACUAUCAUGUUACUUUUUUUGACCUAAUAAUAUUUUUGUUGUCUGUUUAUAGGAAGUGCAGAAUCUGAUGUCUUCCAAAGUUACAGCAACAAGGACUGACUGAAGAAAAGUCUCAAAGACAAAAGAGCGCAAAAGUAUGAAAAACCCUCUUAGUUUUUUCAUAAUUUUUUCAGUUGUUAUUUUAAAAUUUAGAAAUUCAAAUGCCAAUGCAUGUUGAAAAAUGGUGAAACUUUGGUCAUACAGCUGGAGAGAAGGAUGUAUUUGAUAGUGUGACUGUGGUUGACGAUGAGAAAAUGUUGAUAUGUUAUCGUUAAUAACGCCAUCACCCCUCCUGAGGUUUCUUACCUAAAUCUCUGCGAAAAACAGGGGGAAAAGCAGCCCAGGAGUGACAGAUUUCUCCUCUCAGAUAUGUUACACAGACAGAAACAAGGUUGUGGGUGGAUCAACUGUCUGAAAUGUUUCCAGAUUCCCCCAAACACCAGAUAGAAAUUGUUGUUCAGAGGCACAUGCAGAAACUGCUCUUUUGCAUGAAUUGCUGGAUAAGUUGCAGGAGGGAGAUGUUUCUAAAGUCCUUCACAACCAUCCUUCCUCUGAGUCCUUCUGGUCAGCAAUAAAUGCCUCUCACUGGCCAAUAACCAAGAAGAUAACAGAUAAGAAUAUGGCACAUCUUGUACAAAACCUACUGGUGACUGAAAUAAUUUCGUUCAGGAAGUUUGAGAUAGACUCAUUCGCUGAAGGUCUCAAGAAUUUGGAGUUCCUAGAUGCCACAAAGAACAACAAGGAAGUCUGCUUUAAGCUGCUUUGUAAUUCUAUUGAGCAAACCCUCACUCCUGAUGAAUUUAAUAAUCUCUUUGAUGCCAGUGUACAAAGGCCCUCUGACUUUGCCCAGCUACAUUCCUAUGACUGGUUCAUGGAUUAUGUAAUGCUGGUGAGGAGAAACUCGUAUGUCUGCUGCAGUUCAUUACUGGCUUUCAAUCAAUUCCACCUUAUGGUCUCCCUCACAACAUUGUGCUAAUAUAUAUUCCUGAUGAUGAUGAGAAAGCUUCCAUGCCAUAAGCAACUGUACACCUGGCGAUGUUACAGCUCCCAAAAAUUCAUUCCCCAGAGAAUAAUUUCAAUUAAAGCUUGGAUAUUGCCUUAAAGUUUGAAAGCCAGAGGUUUCCUACUGUUUAGCACCUUUGUAACUCAAAGCAAAGGAAAUAUCAGUGAACUGCAGUUUUCUGAAAACGCUUUAAGUUGGCUGUAUUGAUUUGUAGUUGUUCUCUUGUUUGUUUUGAUGCAUUACAUAGAAC
rnacentral:lncRNA from 1 species